ACACUCCUGCGGGAGGCAGCAGUGGGGAAUUUUGGACAAUGGGCGAAAGCCUGAUCCAGCAAUGCCGCGUGAGUGAAGAAGGCCUUCGGGUUGUAAAGCUCUUUUGUCAGGGAAGAAACGGUGAAAGCUAAUAUCUUUUGCUAAUGACGGUACCUGAAGAAUAAGCACCGGCUAACUACGUGCCAGCAGCCGCGGUAAUACGUAGGGUGCAAGCGUUAAUCGGGAUUACUGGGCGUAAAGCGUGCGCAGGCGGUUUUGUAAGUCUGAUGUGAAAUCCCCGGGCUCAACCUGGGAAUUGCAUUGGAGACUGCAAGGCUAGAAUCUGGCAGAGGGGGGUAGAAUUCCACGUGUAGCAGUGAAAUGCGUAGAUAUGUGGAGGAACACCGAUGGCGAAGGCAGCCCCCUGGGUCAAGAUUGACGCUCAUGCACGAAAGCGUGGGGAGCAAACAGGAUUAGAAACCCUUGUAGUCCCA
rnacentral:rRNA from 1 species